rnacentral:rRNA from 1 species
UACGUAGGUGGCGAGCGUUGUCCGGAUUUACUGGGCGUAAAGAGCGCGCAGGCGGUCGUUCAAGUCGCGUGUGAAAGCCCCCGGCUCAACUGGGGAGGGUCACGCGAUACUGAUCGACUCGAAGGCAGGAGAGGGUAGUGGAAUUCCCGGUGUAGUGGUGAAAUGCGUAGAUAUCGGGAGGAACACCAGUGGCGAAGGCGACUACCUGGCCUG